rnacentral:lncRNA from 1 species
AGAACACAAGCAGGGGGAGCUGCCGGCAGAGGGAGAGGGAGACAUAAGCUCCUCGCUGAGCAAGGAGCCUAAUAUGAGGCUCCAUCCCAGUUCACUGGCAUAUUGACCUAAGCCGAAGGCAGACAUUUAACCAACUGAGACACCCAGGAAUUGCAUAGCCUUCCAUAAAGAGAUUGAUCAAAAAAGAGGCCAGCAUUGCUUCAGAGCAAGAAUUAUACAGGAAGAAGGGCUGGGUCAUGCCUCUUGCAGAGACAAACCUGGAUUUGACUGCUUCUUACCUAUCAUUCUAGAUGCUAAAAGGGAAC